CGAUUCCCGGAUAUAAUUAAUGAAUAGAUUUACAUUUACCUAUCAAUUAUUUUACUCCCACCGCAAAUGAAUAGGAAGCAAAUUCAUAAGUUUUUUUUUACUUUUCUUUCGUGGUGAGUAGAACUAGGGCUUCAUCCAAUUAGGUCGAGUAGUGAAGACGAAGAUCUUCGUAGUGAACAGGAGGCGUGAACAGUAAGUUGCGAUGAAAAGGAUUUUUNUUUUGGUUUUUCAAUCGUUUAUUUAUUCCAGAAUUUUCGAAUCCCAUUUUGUUCAACACGAUCUGUACAAUCGAUUAACUGCGGUUAUUUUUUUCACUUUUGAAAGAGCUGAUCUGGUUGAAAAAGAGGUGAAAAUAGUGUGUUCAUAAAAAACGCAAAGGUCUGGUGUUAUCAGUGUUGUGUUUUUUUGUUUAAAGUUGUGAUUUUUUUUCAAUCCUAUGCAAAUGGAUGUGGAAAUUUUUUUUUUCUUGAUUUUAUUGCUUUUUUGUGAAUGUCCUUUUUGAUUUGUUGGGAUGCUAUUGCUUUUCAAAAAAUUUGUGAUUUGUAUAGAUGGUUAAAUAUUUUUAUAUUCUAAUUAGUUAUUGUUAGUUCAUUGCACUUCACAUCCCAACCUGCUGCCAAAUCGUCCCUACCAAACUAAGAAUAGAGAAGAAAUCUACACAAAGAAACAUGCACACAAACUGCUCGAUAAAAGGUUAGAAAGAGAAUACAAUAAGAAAAGAGAAGAAAGAUAUUGUGUACAACAAGUAUAAAUAAUAUUUUAAUGUGGUAUAAUAUAUGUUNGUGCUCAACUGGAACACUGAAAACAAACUAAGAAUAGAGAAGAAAUCUGCACACAAACUGCUCGAUAAAAGGUUAGAAAGAGAAUACAAUAAGAAAAGAGAAGAAAGAGAUUGUGCACAACAAGUAUAAAUAAUAUUUUUAAUGUGGAUAAUAUAUGUUGGGAAGCAAUUCAUUUUCUUUUAGAGUAUAAAUGAAUUCUUUCUAUUUUUUCUCCUAGUGAAUAUGACUUAGAUUUUUUUGGCUGUGAAAGAGUUAUUGUUCAAUGAAUGGGGUGUUUUAUUCUGAAAUUUUUAUGUUGCUUAUUCUAAAAGAGUUACAUUUUUUUGCUUAUUUGUGCAUUUAUUUGUUUCUGGAUUUAAUUUAUGAUAUCUGGUGUGGUUUUAAAUGGUGGAUGUAUUUAGUUCAUAUAAUAUAUAAUUUUAUUCAAUAGGUUAAAAUUCUUGUGCAUUAGCAUUUAGUUUUAGUGCAUCUAAUUUUGUUCACGAGCAUAUCCUAUAAAAGUAGUUAAUAAUCUAGGUUGAAUCUUUCAUCACUAGGCGAGGGAGUUGUUUGAUUAUUAAAUGUGAACUUGGUCUUGUGAAAUUAUUUGCAUAUUGAUUUUAAUUAUGAAACCUGGUAUGGCCUAUUUACUGUAUUUAUUUAGUUAUCCUAAAUAUUAAAUAUAUUCAUCUGUUAAGGAUUCUUAUGCAUUAUGCAUGAUAUGUUUUUAGUGUAUGUGAAUGUGUUCAUGAUCAUAUAUAAAGUAAACAAUAUUUAAUGUAGGUUGAAUCUUGCAUCACUUGGACAUGAGCUAUUUGAUUAAUAAAUGUGAACUUGUUCUUGUGCAUUUAUUUGCAGUUGGAUUUUAAUUAUGAUAAUUGAUAAUUGAUUUUGCUUUUUUUUGUAAAGAUAUAUAGUUCACAUAAAUAUUAUUUUUAAAAUCAAAACAUAUCGUUUAGUUUCGAUAUUCGUCGUGCAUCGCACGGAUGGGAGUACUAGGUUGAUUAAUAAAUGUGAACUUGUUCUUGUCCAUUUAUUUGCAGCUGGAUUUUAAUUAUGAUAAUUGAUUUUGCUUCUUUUUUUGUAAAGAUAUAUAGUUCACAUAAAUAUUAUUUUUAUUUAUUAGUUGAUAAUUCUUAUGCUUUAAGAUAUGUCUAGUCCUUUUGAAUGAUCUAUCCAUGUGCAUUAAUAAUGAAGUCACUUAUAUUAAUGAGUUGUUUGGUCAUGUGUAGAAAAAAACUUGAAGGACAUAUCCGAGGACGAAGAGAGUUCAGAUGAUAAUUUUGUUGCCGUGCAUCCAAGAGUUCAAAUUGCGAGCCUAAUGGAUGUACAGUGCAAGCGAAGAGGAUUGAAUGAUGAGUAAGUGUGCAAUGAUGUAACAACCCGCUCUUUUAUCAGUAUUUAAUUCCAGUAUUGCGUGUUUAUUUAUCUAUCUGCUAGUAAAUGAAGCACCUUAUGAUUUCAACUAUGUUUCUGAAUUACGUAUUUUGGAGACAGAGUCACUACACUAGCAGUAUGCAUUUUUAUUUAUCUUCGCGUGUUUAAGACCGCGACGAGAAUCUUUGAGUCGAUGAAUUAUUAUUACUCAGUUAUAACCAACUUAGCGAAGUUGUGUUAUUUAUUAAUCAAGAUGGAGUUUAUUUCAUGUUGUUACUUAAGUCGUGAAUUAUUUCCGACUUUGAAGCUAAUUAAAUCUACGGAUUUAAUUUAAGUAUUAGAAUGACGAACGAAUUAAAUCUACGGAUUUAAUUUAGCAUUUAUCGAUUUUAGCAAACACGAAACCAGUAUUUCUAAUACAGAGAAACCAACACUGAAGGGUUUUAUUUUAGAUCUUUUAUUUAGAUCACAUCACACGCCCACCCUACACCUCUCUACGUCUGCUACAUCCUAGAUUUAAGGAAAAAGAAGGAAAAAGGGUGAGAAAGGUGUGCUGCAGCAGCAGCUCUUCCCCAUGCAACAAGCCAUGCCCAAGUACACCUAACAUGUCAUUUCAGCCACACUACAACCAUGCUCAUCCUUUUAGCACUCAAGUGCAUAUCAACCGAGCUCCUAGUAUAAAUUCACUCCUAAACCCUUGAGCCACCCCUUUCUCUUCUCGGCACUUAGAAUUUUUCAGCAGCAACAACAAGAAGUUUCAUCUCUCUCGACGCCUUGCACGAAUGGGAGUAGAGCGAGAUUCUUGCUGUCGACUUGAACAAGGUAAAAACUCGGCUUAUUUUUCCUUCCCUCGCCAUGUUUCUUUCCACCUGUUUUCGGCAUAACAACAACAGCCAUUUCAUUUUCAGUUUGCACCUCGACGCUAAAAAAAGCGAGAGAGAAACCAUCGUUCUUUACCCAACCAAAGCACGCGAUAUAUCAAGGUAACCUUCGACCUCUGUUGCUACUCCAAUCGGCAUGAAUCACACUCGCAGAAAUCAUGUUUUAUGGGCUGUAAACGAAUGAACAAAAAGCAUGUUAAGUCACGUUUUUGUGGAACCUACAACUUGAAACCUUGAUGAACGACGAGAACUUUAGCUUUAAACGUAGACGAACGUGAAUAAUCACAGCAUGCUCACAUAGGUAGAGAUUAAGGUCUGUAUACGAGUGAAAAUCGAGGCGAGAUAAGGACGGAGAAUUCUGGUUUUGGAAACUGGAGUCCCCGUCGUUCUUCCCAGACCUAGAAUUGGCCAGAGAGAAUGACCAGAGCAGCGGAGAAAAUGCCAGACCAGAGAAAUGGUCUCGCCAGAGGAAUCACUUCGCCAGAGGAAUCACUUCGCCAGAGGAAUCACUUUCACCAGAGGAAUCGUUCCUCGCCAGAGGAAUCACUUCGCCACAGAGCUAACUCAGUAGAGGCCAGAGCUGACCUCCAGAGCAGAAAGCGAAGAAGCAGAGCAGACCGCGAGAGAGAGAGAGAGGAGAGAAGAGAGAAGAGAACAUAGGGUGUUUAAAUCUUUAUUAUUUUCUUUCCCUUGCUUACACGAAGGGAGAUUAUUAUUUUUUUUUACUGGCAGUUUAGAACACCCUAAUGAGAACGAAUCAAUGUAGUUAAUUACUUGACUUCAUGGGACGGAACCUAGUUGGGUUAAUUGUUUAAUAAAAAGGAAUAUGAGCCAUGCAUAAUUACAUUACGCAUCCUCAUUUAUUUGAGAAUUUCCUCGGACUAAGACCUUACGUUAUUCUUUUCCGAAUCAAGGUUGAACGCAAGAGUUUAAGGCUUAGUCGUGAGUCUCCACUACCAGGUGGGCUUUCUUACGUAUAAACUAAAACCAUAUAGUAGAAUUGUUAAGACUUUAUGCUUAUGAAUUUGAAUGAUGUUGUCAAUGCCUAAAUGCUUUAUGUUUUGUUAUUAAUUGCCUAUCUGAUGUUAAUCGAAUCGGAUCCGGAUGGACCGCAAAUGCUUCGGAAUUAGUGUACACCCUUGUGAUCGUGAGUCAUCUAGCGGGUUGGCCGAUCAUAUAUAGUGACCGUAGAGGGAGGCCUCCCUCUCGGCACGAGUUACUGAUAUGGUGAUUAAUGAUAUUAAAAUGCCUGCGCGGGUUAUUGAUGAAAGAAAUGAUGUUAUUUUAGGUAAAUACGAGCUUUAAAGAAAACCCUCGUAUCUUACUACUGUUAAGGGCUUGACAAUAAAAUAUUAUGCAUGUAUGUAAAUUUCGGCAAGUGUCCACUAAGUACUCCCGUACUUAGCCCUGCAUGUAUUUUUAAAUGUGCAGGUUGAGCUGUGAUCGGGGAUGUAGUGUGCAAGCGGAGCUUUUGUCAAUCUAGGACGAGAACCUCAGAGUGGAGUAUAUGUCUUCAUACAUAUACUCAAUUGUUGUUUUUCCGCUGCGAACACUGAUUACGAAAAGAUAUUAUGUCAUUUGUCAAACAAUAUGUAUUAUUUAACAAUGUACUUGAACUCAUUGAGUACCCUUUUGGAUAAUAUUAUGUACGGUCCCCUUGUGGCCUUUGUUAAUAUCUAGUUUUUGAAUGUUUCCCUUAUACAAAGUCGAGUCAUCAAGAAGCUAAGCAUGUCCCUUUCUAAUCCCGCUCCUAAAUCCC
rnacentral:lncRNA from 1 species